rnacentral:rRNA from 1 species
AACGGCCGCGGUAUCCUAACCGUGCAAAGGUAGCAUAAUCACUUGCCUAUUAAUUGUAGGCUAGAAUGAACGGGUUAACGAAAUAAAGACUGUCUCAAUUAAUCACCUAAAAAUUAUUAUCCACCUGAAGAAAGGUGAAUAAACUCGAAGGACAAGAAGACCCUAUAGAGCUUAAUUUUAAUUAUAGAAUUAUACUAUAAAAAUAUUCGGUUGGGGCGACCCAGGGCUAAAUAAUCACCCAUCUUACACAAGAUAAAUUAAUCAAAUAAUUGACCCUUCAAAGAUCAUAAGACCAAGCUACCUUAGGGAUAACAGGCUAAUCCCACUCAAGAGUCCCUAUCAACAGUGGGGUUUGGCACCUCGAUGUUGGCUUAGG